rnacentral:rRNA from 1 species
GACGAACGCUGGCGGCGUGCCUAAUACAUGCAAGUCGAACGAGCGGCGGACGGGUGAGUAAUGUCUGGGAAACUGCCUGAUGGAGGGGGAUAACUACUGGAAACGGUAGCUAAUACCGCAUACCAUCAGAUGUUCCCAGAUGGGAUUAGCUUGUUGGUGGGGUAACGGCUCACCAAGGCGACGAUCCCUAGCUGGUCUGAGAGGAUGACCAGCCACACUGGAACUGAGACACGGUCCAGACUCCUACGGGAGGCAGCAGUGGGGAAUAUUGCACAAUGGGCGCAAGCCUGAUGCAGCCAUGCCGCGUGUGUGAAGAAGGCCUUCGGGUUGUAAAGCACUUUCAGCGGGGAGGCGUUACUCGCAGAAGAAGCACCGGCUAACUCCGUGCCAGCAGCCGCGGUAAUAC